CGGUGGGCCGGGCCUUCACCACCCUGGUGACUUUGGUCCAGCUUGGCUGCCUAAUCCUCUACAAAAAUGCGAAGAAAGUAAACCAACAUGUACAAACACGAGUAAACGCAGGAAUAGGCGAGGGAAUGGUCAUCUCCAUGGCAGUGACGUUCCACGGUGCGAAUGGGCAGAGAGAGCCAGUGGCUUCCGGCCUUACAUAACCUUCUCACCUGGUAGGUAGGCAGCUAGUGAGAAACGCA
rnacentral:lncRNA from 1 species